rnacentral:sRNA from 1 species
AAAAAAAAAAAACAGGAACCUUAGUUGAUAAAGAAGUCCAAACCCGCUAGAUGUAUCAAGAGCGUUGAGAAAACUUCUCCUAGAGUUAAGAGGAAAGAAAAGAAUGAUAUGAAAAAAAAAAGAGUUUGAAAGAUUCAUGAGUGCAAAGGGUAGAGUUAAGUUGGGACAGGAGUUGGGAUUACCAUUAGAGCUUCAUUGUUAUACUCUGGGUAGAUGGGAUCUUAUCUCUAUAUGCAUAACUUGGGACUUACCUUUAGCAUUCUACUAAAGCUCAAUCAUUCUUGAGGGAUCCCCAGUUACUUAAGCCUAUUCUGUAGGGGACCAUCUUUGUCUCUUGACCUUCACCUUAGCCAAAUGAGUUCAUUGAUGAUGCAUUGCUUGAUUCACGUUCCAGAACUAAUGAAUGUUAAAGGGAUUGGUAGAUUUGAAAACAUGUGUAGGUCGAGUAUAAGAGACGGAUUUAUUGAUAACAAGGCAUGGCUAACGUUUUUGAGUGGAAUUCAAUCAUAUCGCAUCUUAGAACUACCAACUUGGACAUUGGUUUUAUUUGCUCUAUCAUAUGCAUUGGUUCUGAGUCCCCGCCUUCACUCCUCUCCUUCAACUAUGUCUUCUUAUUUGCUUGAGGGCAAGCAAAGACUAAGUUUGGGGGAGUUGAUAUGUCUAUAAUUUGCAUGUUUUCAGUGUCUAUUCAUCAUCACUUUGAGUCUAGUUUCGUAUCAUUCAUCACUGUUUUAUAUCAUUUCUCAUCAUUCUUGCACACUUUGCAUGAUUAGGAUAGCUUUGCAUACAUAUUGCAUUUCUGAGUUGUUUUCAGGUGAUUUGGAGCUGUUUGCGAGCAAAUUGGAAGAAACGAGCCAGAACCAGAAGACAUACUCGACCCCCAGGCCGAGUGACUUUGGAGCCAUUCUUCCCACAUACUCGACCCCCAGGUCGAGUGACUUUGGAGCCAUUCUUCCCGUCCACUCGACCACCAGGUCGAGUAACCUCAGCUCAGGCCACUCGACGACAUUACUCGACCCCCGGUCGAGUACCGCUUCGCCACACCACCUGACCACACUCGACCAUUCACUCUACCACGUUACUCGACCCCCUGGUCGAGUAUCAUCACUCACCACCAUCACCAUCACUCGACCGGACACUCGAUCACGUCUUCACAGUCUACUCAAAUCCGCACUCAACCAGACAAGCUGAGCACAAGGAAGAAAAGAGGAGAAGACAAAGUGUUUGGAAGCGGCCUGGACCUCCAUCGGAUCACGAAGCCCAUCUCGGCCCAUUAUCACUCUAUGGGCCGGGCGAUUAGGUUAUUGGCCCGUCUACUAUCAUUUUAUUUCGUUUGGUAUAAAUAGAUGUUUUAGGGUUCUGUCCUAAAUCAUCUAGUCGACAUUGCGUUUUUGCUUCAGUUUUAUUUUCAGUUUUACUCUGCUACGCCGCUUUUGCUUCUGCAACCUGUAGUUCGCGAUUUUUCCAAGUUAUUGAGAUUCCGCGUUUGAUUUCAUUAGUCAUCUUGUUUCUCUACUCUUUAUCUCUUUACUUAUGCAAUAUUAUCGUUUAUCUGCGUUUAUGUCUUUGAGCAUGUUGUCUGAGUAGUGACUUAGAAUUCUUAGGGAUGGGAUAGAGUAGUUGUGGAAUCCGUAGUCUAUAGAAUGGUUAAGUUUUAGAAUUGAUUGAAUCCCUUUAGGACUAGUUGCGUUUACUGCUAAUUUCUUUCUGAUCAACUGGAAUUCGAUCCCAAGCAUUCCCGCACCCAGAAGGUGUUCGAUGGAAUGCUUGAUCCACUAGUUCCUGAGAUAUGCGUCUCUAUCCCAAGGGAUUGGCCGUUUAGAGCGUUUAUUGACUUUAUCAGUCUGUUCGUAUUGCCUGCAUAGUUAGAUUUCGUUAAUGGGAAUUAGUCUGGGCUAGCUUUGCUUGAGGAUUUCUAUCACGGGAGUGAAUUGGUCUGUUGUUGAACCUGUUGUCUAGGGAUAGCUUGAUUGCGCUUGUUAACCAUUCGAAUAGGCUAGGACACCACUCUACUCGAUUACCCCAUCCUUAGGAAAUUCUCGUCUAUCUUAUUUCUCUGUUUUAUCGUUAUCGCUUAAUCGUUCUCAUUGCCUGUUUCUUAGUUUUUACAAUCACUCGACCAACUUACUCGACCACACCCAGUGUCUGGCAACAGACUGUGCAGUCGAGUAUAGCUGUUUCAUAUCCUGUCUAUUACUCGACCUGUUACUCGACCACAUCCUACUUCUGGCAUCAGCCUGUUGUGGUCGAGUGAUUUUAGUAAUUCUGUUAUUGCUUCUGUUUUCUGCCUGUUCGCUUAGGACUGUUAGAAACCCCAAAACUGUUAUUGCUUGGCUUGACUUAGUGACUUCUGAUCACAUCUCAUCUGUUUGCAUCACACCCAUUUGGAUUGACACCUAAAAUACUACAACGACAUGAUUGGUGUUUUAGGAAUAAUUGACUAAAAAUAUAUUAUCAAUCUCCGAGUUGAGAGAGCCAAGGAGCAGGCAGAGACGAGCUUCCACACGCUCGACCGGACAGAACGAGCAACACCCUUCCGCCUCAACUUCAGCCUCUACCUAUACCCAAGAGAGUAUGGAUGACUAUGUCUACAUCUACUUCACCUGAUCAUAGAGGUAACACCACCUCUCCAUUGUAUAUACCAUAGCAUCUUUUUAUUUUUAUUUUUGUGUUUUGUGCUCAGGUAGUUAGUUCUCUGUUGCAUAACGAUUGUAUCUCUGAAGUAAGACUGCACCCUGCUUUGAAUUUGUAACUUGACUAUACUACUUUGAUCAAAACUCGCUUAUCUGAUGCCAUUCCCUAUCUAUGAGAACCUGAACUGAAUUUGAAAUUAUCAUGUCUAUGCAUUGUUUAUGAACUCAUGGCUACCAUAUACAUACUUGGAUCAUCUUAUUCACUUCAUCACCCUCUGUUAAUCCAAGUAGUUAUCUCUCAUCUUUAGAGCAGUUUUCCAUACCCUUAGCGUA